rnacentral:rRNA from 1 species
GAUGAACGCUGGCGGCGUGCCUAAUACAUGCAAGUCGAGCGAACAGAUAAGGAGCUUGCUCCUUUGACGUUAGCGGCGGACGGGUGAGUAACACGUGGAUAACCUACCUAUAAGACUGGGAUAACUUCGGGAAACCGGAGCUAAUACCGGAUAACAUAUUGAACCGCAUGGUUCAAUAGUGAAAGGCGGCUUUGCUGUCACUUAUAGAUGGAUCCGCGCCGUAUUAGCUAGUUGGUAAGGUAACGGCUUACCAAGGCAACGAUACGUAGCCGACCUGAGAGGGUGAUCGGCCACACUGGAACUGAGACACGGUCCAGACUCCUACGGGAGGCAGCAGUAGGGAAUCUUCCGCAAUGGGUGAAAGCCUGACGGAGCAACGCCGCGUGAGUGAUGAAGGUCUUCGGAUCGUAAAACUCUGUUAUCAGGGAAGAACAAAUGUGUAAGUAACUGUGCACAUCUUGACGGUACCUGAUCAGAAAGCCACGGCUAACUACGUG